GCCGAAGUGGCGAAAUGGCAGACGCGCUGGUUUUAGGUACCAGUGUCUUCGGACGUGGGGGUUCAAGUCCCCCCUUCGGCACCA
rnacentral:tRNA from 1 species